AGUGAACGCUGGCGGCAGGCCUAAUACAUGCAAGUCGAACGGCAGCACAGUAAGCUUUCUCUUCUACGGUUGGCGACUGGCGGGUGGGUGAGGCAUACAUCGCCAUCUACUUUUCCGUGGAGGACUACGUAGAGCGACAUAUGCUACUACCUCAUACGACAUACCGCAGAAAGCAGGGGUUCUUCGGACCUUGCGUGAACGAAUGAGCCGAUGUCGGAUUAGCUAGUUGGGGGGGUAAAGGCCCACCAAGGCGACGAUCCGUAGCUGGCCUGAGAGGAUGAUCGGCCACACUGGAACUGAGAAACGGUCCAGACUCCUACGGGAGGCAGCAGUGGGGAAUAUUGGCCAAGGGGCGAAAGCCUGAUCCAGCCAUACCGCGUGGGUGAAGAAGGCCUUCGGGUUGUAAAGCCCUUUUUUUGGGAAAGAAAAGCGGCAGAUUGAAACCUCGCUGUUCUGACGGUACCCAAAGAGAAAGCACCGGCUAACUACGUG
rnacentral:rRNA from 1 species